AGAACGAACGCUGGCGGCAUGCCUAACACAUGCAAGUCGAACGAGACCUUCGGGUCUAGUGGCGCACGGGUGCGUAACGCGUGGGAAUCUACCCUUGGGUUCGGAAUAACAGUUGGAAACGACUGCUAAUACCGGAUGAUGUCGCAAGACCAAAGAUUUAUCGCCCAAGGAUGAGCCCGCGUAGGAUUAGCUAGUUGGUGAGGUAAGGCUCACCAGGCGACGAUCCUUAGCUGGUCUGAGAGGAUGAUCAGCCACACGUGGACUGAGACACCGGCCAGACCUCCGUACGGGAGGCAGCGAGGUGGGAAUACGUUAGGAACAAGUGGGACGAAAGCCUAGACUCCGAGCAACGUGGCCGCGGUUGAGUGAG
rnacentral:rRNA from 1 species